GUAAAAUAAUAGCAUAAUAACCUAUAAACAGUGACCACUCCAUUUUUCUAGGUUCUGGGUUUAACUGGACUAGUUGUUGCUCUUUUGAAGCAAAACUACUCCAGUUGAACCGCAAAGAACUACCAAGACGAACAAUGACCUGGGCAAAUGAGAAAUUGGAUGAGAAACUGUUCUUAUUUUAGUUCCAAACUC